CUCGGAGUCUGGAGAAUACAUCAUUCAGUUGGCAGAAUCACUUGUGAGAGUAUUUUGUGAUUUCCGAAACGGACGUUCCUGGACAGUUAUUCAAAGGCGUGUAAAUGGGUAGAUAAGUUUUAAAAGAAACUGGAAAGAAUAUGCUGAAGGAUUUGGUUGCUUAGACACUGACUUUUGGAUUGGAAACAAGGUCAUUCAUGUUCUGACUCAAAAUGACCAUAAACGCCUCCUUAGAGAUUUGGAAGACCACAACGGUGUCCAUCAUUAUGCACACUAUUCUGACUUUUCAGUUAAAGCUGUGGCGGAAAAAUACAAGUUGUCCGUGAAAGGAUUUUCUGGUAAUAUAUUUGAUGCUUUUGGAUCUGUCUGUGAAAGAUAUUGUCAUAACGACAUGAUGUUUUCUACCUAUGAUCAAGACAACGACGGAAGUGCAUCCAAGUCAUGCGCAGUAAACCACAAUGGAUGGUGGUUUAACGAUUGUUAUCGUUGUGCCCUAAAUGAUGAAAAGAUUGGUUGGUGGACAGCAGACCAUGGAAUUCUGUAUUUCAGAAGUGUCAAAAUGGCUCUCGCGAAAACACUUUAAAAAGGAUAUAGUGCAUUGUUUCUAGAGAUGACUAUCAAUUGACAACAUGAUGGUCAUAAGUUCACUUGUGGUGAACAUUUUGAUUUUUGCGUGAUAGAUUUGAAUGAAGAAUGGCAAUUUAUAGAUCCUUAUAAAAACCAUUUACUAUGAAUGAUAUUCAAAAUUGGCUAUAAUGUCAAUUUUUUCCUAUUAUAUGUUUAUUGUGUAUAUUAAAUUAACUUACUGGAAUAUGAAAUUCUGAUUUGCUCCCAUUCUACGAACAGUGUAAAAGUGUGCAACAUUUUAUAGAUUUGAAAUAAUCCUGUUUCAUGUUUUUAAGCAACGAAGAGCACCAACAUAUUUUUAGAGGAGAAAUCGCUGAGUUUGUUUCUUUGUUUGUUUUUUUUUUUUUUUUUUUUUUUAUUAUUAUUAUUAUUAUUAUUUUUUAAAUGAACUGAUGAGUAUAGUAUAGCAUGUUUAAGCAGAUCGAUACAUGUCCUUUGAUAAUUGUAUCGUUUGAACAUUUAAAGGUUUCCAAGAUAAUAUCCAAUUAAAAAUUUAUACGGAUAUAAGGAUGGCAAAAGAAAAUUCGUAUAAGAUGAUUUCCGCCUUGAUACAUGUAAGUGAUCAAAUAAUGAUCACUUUUAAGACAAAAAUGAAAAUUUAAUACCUUUUCUAAUACAUGUUCUGUUUGCAUGAAUACAUAUA